UCCGGUUUGUCACCGGCAGUCCCAUUAGAGUGCUCAACUGAAUGUAGCAACUAAUGGCAAGGGUUGCGCUCGUUGCGGGACUUAACCCAACAUCUCACGACACGAGCUGACGACAGCCAUGCAGCACCUUCUCACUAGCUCUCCGAAGAGCACCCCGGCAUCUCUGCCAGCUUCUAGUGGAUUUAACCCAGGUAAGGUUCUGCGCGUUGCGUCGAAUUGAACCACAUGCUCCACCGCUUGUGCGGGCCCCCGUCAAUUCCUUUGAGUUUCAGCCUUGCGGCCGUACUCCCCAGGCGGGGCACUUACUGCGUUAGCGACGGCACCGGGAGGGUCGCUCCCCCCGACGCCUAGUGCCCAUCGUUUACGGCGUGGACUAC
rnacentral:misc_RNA from 1 species